UUCAAAGAACUUUGAUAGCUUAAUCAGGCGUGUUUUCUCUUUACAGAGAUCAUGUUUAUUCUAAGUAAAUUUAUAGUGAAUAACUUAAGACUUAAUAUUUUAGAACCUGUAUGACAGUGUUUAAAGACAAAUCUUUUCAAUGUAGGUUGGUGGGAUGGGUAGUGUCUGUGCAUCUUAUAUAAAUUUUGAAAUAGAGGUUUUAUUUUACCUUUAAUAUAUUAUUUUAAAUUUCCUCCAUCACUUUAUAAUCAAUUAAUUUGACAACUUAAAAAAAAAACACCCUAGGUUUGCUUCUGGGUCUUCCUGAGAAUCUUUUUUCUUAAAAAGUUUUAUAUAGUAUACUAGAACCUUAUUUCAACUAUAUACUUAUUUUAAGGAUAAAAGAAACUGAGUUUUAAAGAGAUUAAAUAACUUGCCCAAAUUCAUGAAGCAAGCAGUGGGGCUUUAUGACUCCAAAACCCUUGUUCAGUGUCUGUGCUGUACUACUUCAGUCUAGAACAAAAGAUGUGAAAGGGCGCACAUUCCUGGGGCAUGGAGAUCUUUAUUGAGCAUAUAAAACUGAAAAGAAGGGAUUGUGUUUUGCUUAAGAUAGGUAGCCAGCAUUACCGAACUGAUAGUGUAUUGUUUGAAUUUAAAUGAAAGAAUAGGAUAUUUU
rnacentral:lncRNA from 10 species